GCGCCCUCUAUAAAAGCCAUUUACCUGCUACAGCUGGGUACCUGUCUUCUGCUGCUAUCUACACAGACAGCGUGCACACGUCACUAGUGCUUCAACACGAUUGGCUGGCUGUGAGUCACGCCGCCUAACGACUGGGUUGCUGUACAUGGAAUUCUUUGUAGUCAAUGUAAUAUAACCUUGUUUUCAACACCAAAGUUAUCUUUCUCCUCCACACGAAAGCAGCAGUCAGGCUCCUCUACGACUCGCAAAACGAAGACAGUCAACACAUUUCUACAAAAUUUUAAGACUGGAAGAGAAUGAGGAUGUGGAUCAGCUUCUGUGUACUGGUUGUCCUCGCCCUCCUGGUGCCGCAGUCCACUCCAUUCGGAUUCACCUGGGCGCGAACCUCUCUGCAGGAAGAUCCCAUUGGUGGGGUAUAAGGAUACCCUGUAUUACUGGAAUCGUUAUGGAAACAGCUGCUACGUCUAUAUUUAUCACAGACUGGAGUAUCGACACGCACAGAGAUACUGCAAAAAGCUAAACGCAAGUAUUGUUGAAAUCAACGAUGAGAAAGAAAACUACGAUGUCAGCCGAUAUGUUCAAAUAAUGUCAGAUGAACAUAACGAUACCUGGAUUGGAAUAACAGAUACUCCAAACAUGUAUGGGUAUUUGGUACCGAUAGGACUCCUCUAACCUUUUAUAAGUGGGAUGAUUAUGAACCCAAUGUUUGUGGCGGCUGUGUAGUUUUUCGGAAAACUGAUAAAUGGUUUGUUCAGGUGUGUGAACAAUCGAAAACAUUCGUCUGUGAGCAACCAUACGUGGAAUAGAGAGAAAAAAGGCAAGAGACCAGGAAACAGUGUAAAAACUCCCAUCUAUCUCUAAGCUUUGAUGCAGCUGUACCUCGCUGUUCAAAUCACGGGUGAAAAAAACAAUAAAAGUUGAUUUCAACAAUGUUUAUGUUAGCAUGUUUGAGAUUAUUUUUCCUUAAAAAUAUUCACAUUUUCUGUCUCAGGUUUCAUUGCUAAUUAUACCAUCAGGCGCCAUCUGAAAAAAAAUUG